CCAUCACUCCCAUACCACUAAACCACGUCCCUCAGUGCCACAUCCACAUGGGUCUUGAACACCCCCAUGGACGGUGACUGCACCACCUCCCUGGGCAGCCUGUGCCGCUGCCUCACCGCUCUUUUGGAGAAGAAAUUCUUCCUCAUAUCCCAUCUGAAAUCUGCAAUCUGAUGCAACCUGCACAAAAGCAGGCUUCCUUUCAGCCCUGCAGUGCUUACCUGUGCAGAAAUUAUGUUCUCUGCAGGGAAAACUUGUCACUCCAUGGGUUCGUCCCCCACAGCCUCCUGCAAUGUACGGAUCAGCAGAUCUUUCUUCACAUUUCUCCCCCAGCACUGCUUACAGAAUUCAUGGAGGCAGAUAGAAUGUGAGGGGCAAAGCCACCCAAGCAGCAGAGCCAGAAAAUUGUGCAUUGGGCAAGGAUAAAGGCCCAGUUUUGUCCACUGUUUUUCCUUCUCUGUUAAAAACUAGCCUUAUGCACCGCCUUGCCUUGCUCUUGGCCAUCUAGUUCGUCCUGAGUGCAGGGAUCCCACAGAAACACAAGGAAAAGCACACACAGCCAUAGUGGAAGUUAUCUCCAGUGCUUUUGAUACAGAAUGAGAAAAGCCAUAUCCCCAAAGCCAUGGAGCAGGAAGGUGCUAAGCCCUGCUCUAAUUCUCCUUUUAUGUGGAGUACCGUCGCAGGAUCAGGAUCAGGAGUUCUAUGGCAACCCGAUUUAAAUAUGACAACGUACGGAAUCAGUAUGAAAAUUACUCCACAAUUCAGAGCCCUCAGCCCUGGCCUAGGGCUCAAUGCCGGCAAGCUUACAUUAAGAAGCAAUUACCUUUGAAAAUGACCCUAUCGGGCCAAGAAAGCAAAGCAAAUUUCUCUAUCUGACAGACACUCCUGGCAAUUUUGGUUCUGGUAAAUUAUCAAUACAUUCCAUAUUGCAUCUGCUAUUACUGUGUUUUUCUCCAGGACUGUGCACAAUCACAGAGCUUCCAGGCUAUGGGGAUUUUUGCGGCUCAGAGCUCUUCCUCCACAAACAGGAGAAGAACCGCUCGCUUUUGGAGUUCCUGUCUGAAGCUGCCACACGCUUCUAAGGCACUUUUGAAUCAUAGAAUCAUAGAGUUAUUUAGGUUGGAAAGGACCACAAAGACUGUCUAGUGCAACUUGCUGUCAACUCACACUGAGUUUCCUUUACACAGUGCUGUCCAGGUGUAAAACCAGCAAGAAAACUUUGCAAAACACCCACUUCUCAUCCAUGCACGCUGGCUCCUGAUAGCUUUAGCAUCUUGGUUUCCAUGUCCCAGUCUCUGAACAAGACAUAGAGACUUUGGUGAUUGGCAGCUGAGGGCAGAAAUAAGUCAGGGUGAGGUUUUGGCAAAGGAAAGGAGGCCAAUGCCUUAGUUAACGGCAGAAGGGAGCGGCGAUAAUUCCAAGCUCUCCCACUACACAUAGUCAUAGCUAAGCAAGCGGUCAGGUCUCCAUAUGAAACAAAAUGAAAUUAAAGAAAAACAGAAAAUAAAAACAAAAAUACACCAACGGCACUCAUAGAACUCUAUGCACUCAAGGGCAUGGGUGCCAGGCAGCUCUGCCAAAGCCACUUGAUUUAGACAUGUGAGCUGCACCCCCACGGACUGCUCAUCAGACGAACAAGAUCCUACGAUGAGAGGCUUCCCCUUUGAAGGGUUGCCUUGCUUUUCUGCUUUGCUGUCUCUACAUGUCUUUCACGAAGCUUUAUUAUCAUUGAUAAUGACGAAUUAAGAGGGAAAAAAAUUCUAUUCAAGUAUUGCAUAGUCAAAAAAUCACUUCCCUAGAUGCUGGAAAAUCAAAUGGAAGACUCCAGGGCAGAAGGGCUAAUUAAAAACAAAAAUCACACGCACACACAAAAUCACAAAAGCCUGCUUUACUAUGAAAGCCCUUGAGGGGAGAUAAAAGCUGAAGGGAAGCACACACUUGAAUAACAAGGGUCCUAAUGGGUUUGGGUCCGUGUCUACUACGAAGCAUUGAUUUUGGAUGCUUGAUGAAGUUAGUUAUUAGAUCAGAAAAAAAUAAUUUAAAGAGACACUGCCCACUGAAGAUCAUUCUGUUGGAGAAGUCUGUAUCGAUGUCAUAAGUAACGACUCAUUUUUAUAAAAAAUAAAAGAGGCCGGAGUGAAAAGAAA